UCGGGUCUCGACCGUCUGUCAUUAGAUGAGCCGGCAUUGUGAUCUUCUUCCGCAUCAUGUCGGCGACGGCUGAGACUGCACCGUUAGGGUCGAUCUCGAGGAGCUUUUCAACGAUGCGUACGUAGGCGUUUUCAUGGCGCUUCUCGUCGGCUGCAAUGGUGCCGCAGAUUCGAGCGAGAACAGGAUCUCCGGCAGACUUGGCUAGCCGUGCGGUGUUGCCGUGAGACACGAAGGUGGCUCGCUCUUGGAAUGACGUGUACACGAAACCUAAGUAUGGAUUGUUCUCCGUUCCUGGAUCCUAAAAAUUCCCAAUAUAUAAACCUAACCCGAACCAACCAAAGCUAAUCCGGACCAACCAAACGUAAACUAAACGAAAAUAUUUAGAUUGAAAUAUGUUUAUGAUCAAUUCGUUCUUUUAUUUAGAAACAGAUAAACCCAAAGCUAACUCUAUUGUAAGAACUGCCAAAAAAAACCAGAAUUUAUUAAAAUUUGAUAUAUAUUACAUUAUAUAUUACUAAAUAAUUCCCAUCGAAGAUAAUUAUUAAUAUAUAUUUUUCAGUUGAUUUUCCUUUUUUUUUAAUCGGCCAACCAAAAACCAAAUUAAAUUGUAUCAUACCAAAUCGAAACAAACCAAGUGGCAAAUAGUUUUGGUUAUGUUUAGGUUUCCAUAUAUAACAAACAAAAAAAAAAAAAACUUAACCAAACCAAAUCAAAAACCGGAAAAAGGAACAAACCCAAAAACAACAUAAGCAUAACUACACCUUAAGAAAAAUGAUCUAAAUAAAUCAAAGAACUACAAAUGAUUAAUCAAACUGCGAAUAGUAUAAGCAUUUUCUUUCAUCAUAAAAAUAUAGAAAAAGAACUGACCAUG
rnacentral:lncRNA from 1 species